GAUGAACGCUGGCGGCGUGCCUAAUACAUGCAAGUCGAGCGAACAGACGAGGAGCUUGCUCCUCUGACGUUAGCGACGGACGGGUGAGUAACACGUUGAUAACCUACCUAUAAGACUGGGAUAACUUCGGGAAACCGGAGCUAAUACCGGAUAAUAUAUUGAACAGCAUGGUUCAAUAGUAAAAGACGGUUUUGCUGUCACUUAUAGAUGGAUCCGCGCCGCAUUAGCUAGUUGGUAAGGUAACGGCUUACCAAGGCAACGAUGCGUAGCCGACCUGAGGGGGUGAUCGGCCACACUGGAACUGAGACACGGACCAGACGCCUACGGGAGGCAGCAGUAGGGAAUCUUCCGCAAUGGGCGAAAGCUUGGCGGAGCAACGCCGCGCGAGUGACGAAGGUCUUCGGAUCGUAAAACUCUGUUAUGAGGGAAGAACAAAUGUGUAAGUAAAUAUGCACGUCUUGACGGUACCUAAUCAGAAAGCCACGGCUAACUACGUG
rnacentral:rRNA from 1 species